AAAAAGAUUACCCAGGAAGAUGGAUCACUCUAGCAGGUUACCAAGCAUGGCAAAACAUUCUGCUAGGUUAUCAAGGAAGGUGGAACAUUCUACCAGGUUACCAAGGAAGGUGGAACAUUCUGCCAGGUUACCAAGGAAGGUGGAACAUUCUACCAGGUUACCAAGGAAGGUGGAACAUUCUGCCAGGUUACCAAGGAAGGUGGAACAUUCUACCUAGAAGCCAUAGAAGGUAUAACUGAAUACCAGAUAGCCUUAAAAGUCACCUUUAUUAAUAAAUCACUACAUAGUAUAGCUUUAUUGACGGUCACAACGGCAUUUAAAGUUCUUACUGUGUUUGUCAUUUAUGUGUUCAGUACGCUUGAGGAAAGCAAUAAUUACAUAUUCUUACAAAGAUGUGAAAAUAUAUUCAAAGCAUGAAUCACAACAUUUCAACAUUGGGUCUUGCUGCAGUGAAACAGCUAGGAUAAUUGUAUAACUGAUAAUCAGUUCUUAUAAUCAAGAUGUUCUAAAUAUUUUCUUCAAUUCAAUCAUUGCAUCUUAAUAUUGCACAAGAACUUCAUCACAAAAUCACAGAGGAUAAGAUUGCUUGGCCAUUAUACAUGGAAACGUUUACACCUUGGCCACAAAAUACCUACAUAUGUUUAUACAAACAAAAUAUAAUCUAACAGAUAGCAGCUUCUAUAGAAGUGACCAUGCACAUACCCGGGUAUUUAAUCAUUCAGAACCAAUACAUUUACUUAACAAUUAACAUUUCAAUUGCUUCUUCUGCUGACAAACCUUUUAUUAUUACUUUAACAGUAUCAUGUUUUUACAAACUAGUGUCAAAGAGUGCUCUAUCAAUACACUGUUUGGAUAUAUUCACUGCAAUAUCCCUUCCCUUCUAUACCAUAGCCACUUAAGACAAUUUCUUAAAGCAUAAGCCUCAUCUUCCAAGUACCAAAUAAAUAGUGUAAAGAGAUAUCAUUACAUGUAUAUACAAAAUUAAGCCCUUGUCAAAAUAAACUGGCAUAUCAAUAAGGCUUCUGAUGCUGGUGGACUAAAACUGUAGUAUCAAAUUUAAAAGUAUUGUCAUGAAAUUUACUGAUGAUGUAUGAAUUACUAUUAGUUCAAACAACCUUUAUAGCCGACUACUGUUUUAGUUUCUUGUGCAGUAGUCAAGUAUUAUUUACCAAUGACAUACCUGGUGUGGCAGGUUUUAAUUGUACAUAGUGAUACAGGUCCCAUUCCAGCUUCACACUUGGGGAAUUUCCCCUUAGUUCAGUCUGUAGAGCGGCAGACCAGUAAGCUGAGGGUGUCGAUCCCUGGUGGAGGCACAAUACUAAUUUUUCCUGGUACACCUGGUAAGUUAUUCUAACAAAUGAUCAUACAUACUCUACGAAUAAGGAAGUUGGUAUCAAAAUCAAGGGUUCAUUAAAACAAACUAUGACCUUUGAAUAUCAACUUGAAAAAUUUCAGUUUUACUUAAAACACUACUAUGCAUAAAAAAUCUUCUUUUAACUAACAUUUUAUUAUACAACAAUAAAACCAAAAGGCAAUAUACUGGUACAUACAGGUUAAAAAUACAAAUAAAAACAAACUUUGUCAAAAAUAAUAAUAACUGACCUUAACUUUGAAACUAUUAUGGCUUCAUUAUGCUCAACAUUUACUGCACCAGUUUGUACAUUGCAUACAUGUAUUUUACAUGUACACAAAGAUUAUUAUAAUGCCACACCUAUCUACUUCUAUGACACAACUUCUAUCUGGGGUACUGGUAGUGAUGUUGCCAGAGAGCUUUUAUGACAAUCUUUAAUCCUUUUUGUUGAUAGUGUACUUAUUAUCUACCCUAUCUAUUAUUUACUAGUUUUGUCAUUAUCUCCUCAGACUUAAUACGAUUUUAGUUGUUGUAAGACCAUUAACCCUACUAAACAAAAUCUAUUUAUAGUCCACUCAUGAUUUAGGACUAUGACAGGGUUAUAUUAUCUAAGUUCUUCUUCAAGGGGCUUCUACAAACCCAGUGAUCUAACCUAUACAGGCUAUUUAACUAUUAAUACUAAACUUGGUUCCCAACACUGUUAUGGAAGGAACUGGAAUUUCAACAAGAUUUGAUUGUGAAUAUAAAUACUUGUGAUCAACAUGUUAUAAAUUCAGAUAGAGUAUUCCCACUUAAUUUGUUUAUAUCUUAACUGUAAAUAUAUAAUUCUAUAGCUAUAUAUAUCUAUCAAUUAGAACCUUGACCUGAGCCUGAAUACAGGUUGCGUGCAAUAUGCAAGUUACAAAAUUCUCAAUGUCAUUAAAAAAAAUAUUCAAUGCUAUAAUCGUGUGGAAUGCAGAAAAAAAAUAUAUCCAUACUUAAAUUUUUCCCCUAUCCUAAUGUGUAUAAUAAUAAACUUUCAAAUUCUAUAAUUAUAUUAUGAUAUGAAUAUGUGAAUUACAACCGUACAAACCUUUUGGUGGUACGAAGUAUAACAAGCUUGUGUACACACCUGGUAGUGACUUGGAAAAUGUUACAACCUAUCUACAUCAACAAAAAUUCAAAAUACAUAUACAGUGCAUCACUUUGGCAUUAAAAUGUGUUGUGUGUACAAUACAGUAGGCUGUCCAGGUCUAACACAUAACAAAACCAUGAUUUAAGUUUGUACAUAAACACUGCUGUAGCACCUUACACAACGUACAUUCCAAACUGAACAAAACUUCACACUCACGUUUACAUGCAGUUAAUGUAAAACUGUAGGUUUAUAAACGGAAACUAGCAAAUAAACGUUCCACAAGGAAUGACUGCUUAUCAAGUUUAACUAUAUUUAUCGUUAGAUUUUAAAAAACGAACUGCUCAUUUAUUGUUGUAAAAAUUACAGAUACAGAGAGAUAUACACAAGAUAAACUAUGGCCACCAACUGUGGAACAUUUUUCAAAUCAUUCACCGUGUUAUUUUACAAUCAUGCCAGAAAGAAAUUAUCUAAGAUGAUGAUUUGAAUAUGUAUAUCAAAAUAUCCUACACCCAUCUUUAUUAUUUUGGUACACAUACUACAAUGGCAAUUGUUUUUUUAACAAAAAAUGUUUAAGCAAUUCAUAUGUCAACUUACAAUCACUGUUACAUUAAAUCAGUGGCAGAUGUUUCUAUCGAUUACAGCAAUCUCCUAACAGGCUCCUUCCGUAUCUAUGGGUUUUAACCAAUCAAAGUGAUGGAAGGUGUUAAUACAAAAGGUAGAAUUUAGGAUCUCAUGUCUGCCACAUCAUGGUGUGUAAUGGUAUAUUUUCUAGAGGAAUGCAAGGUACCAUGAAAGGAAGCUAUAGAUCUUAAUGAAACAAUCCAAUUUACCCAAACAAACUAUUCAAAAUCUGUUUACUAUACAUAUCUCCUUAUCUCACUACUGGUCAGCAGUGUCACCUCCUGCCACCGUGUCUCCCUCCGCCUUCACGGUCACCUUCACGGUCACCUCCAAUUCCUUCUCUACCUUAGAUUUGUCCCCACUAUCAGAAUCCUGAAAAACAAUCAUUGGAAAUGCUUCCAUAUUUAUAUUGCUGCAUGCCAUAUCAAACAUACUGUAUCUCGACUAUCAAUUAGUACACACUGACAAGAAUAGCACUUUUGUAUUUUCUAAGUUCAUGCAAAUCUUUAAAAAGAAAAAAAAAGAAAAACAUCAUUCUGAACCUUCAAAAAUAAUUGUAAGUUCCCGACAACCUACAUGUACUA